CCACCCCCUGUUGGUCUGUGUGAAGUUUGUGAGUAAAUGGAGCGAAUUGUUUCCAUUGACUGGGACUUCAUUCCUCUCUCUUGGGGUGAGCGUUGGAGGAAUGGGGAGAUCAGCGCAGGCUCUGGAUUGGAGAUAAGGAGGGGGAUCAAUAUUUCAAAGGGGCCGAGACUGCAGGGCCUGACACCCACACUCCCUCACGGCCAAUGUUUGGUGUGAAAUUAAUCCUCUCUCAUCAACAAGUGACUAUUGUUUUGCUGCUUGUGGGAACCGGCACAGUGGAGAGUGUAGGGGCCAAGAUGGUGGUAUGGAGGGAAAUUGGAGACAGCUGAAAGAGGGACAGGGCUGAGGGACAUAGAUACAGGUUCUGAGGAAAAGGGGGUGAGGGAUUAACUCCAGUGUUCAGUCUGAGCUGAGGUCUAAGUUAAAAUGGGGUGUUUAGUAGUUGCUGGUGGACUCAGUGGGGGAAUCCUUUUUUCACGUUGCAAUCUUGCUGUGUGGGGAUAGCCUGCAACCUUUUCCUCUACAGGAGCAGGGGUCCACCAUUUCCAAAUUCAGAUGAGGUGGGUGUGUCGGCGCUUCUGAUCUUGGCCGGUGAAGAAUAUGGAAACCUUUAGUCUCUUCAGUAUGGGGAAGCUGGGGAAAGCUGUUGGGAUGCUGCUGUGCAGAAUGUCCUUCAUUCCGCAGUCAGUCCUUCAGUUUGUGGGGGCAGGGUGUGGUUGGCUCCAACAAAGUUUUGAGGGAAUCCCUUCGAGGUACAUUAAGUGGCUGCCUGUGGAAUCUUGCUGUGCAUCCCCUUGGUCUGCGGAACAGCCUCAAACGUGUUGUGUGUCUGUCUACAGGGCCCUGAGCGGACACUGCUGACAGCUUUUAGUGGGUGAAAUGCAUCGUCCCUCCUUUACCCUCAACUCCGAUCACUCCCACCUCUUGUCAUCGCCUCACCCUCCAAAAUGUGAUAUUGGUGUCGCAAACAUCUCGGAGACACGGCGGGGAGAUUGCAACUUGUGGAAAAUGGAGUCAGAAACUCAUCUGGAGGGACAAAGAGAGAGACGCAGGCUCCGGUUUCUGAAUCAGCUGGCUGCCAAUCUGACAUUUGUUCGUGUCCACGAUUGGAAAGCUGUGCAGGAAAAUUGACGCUUAAGGAGAAAGACAAGGCAGAUAGCUGCUCAGACCUGCACCAAGGAUCAAGGAGAGCGAAACAAGGAGGAAUAGGAAAGCGAGGCUCGUGAGCUCUGGUGAAACACCUUUUCUCUUAUUCAGUCC